GCACAAGCGGUGGAGUAUGUGGUUUAAUUCGAUGCAACGCGAAGAACCUUACCUGGUCUUGACAUCCCGGAGACCCUUAGGAAACUAGGGGGUGCUUCCAUCUGGAAGAAUCUGGAGACAGGUGCUGCAUGGCUGUCGUCAGCUCGUGUCGUGAGAUGUUGGGUUAAGUCCCGCAACGAGCGCAACCCUUGCCUUUAGUUGCCAGCAGUUCGGCUGGGCACUCUAAAGGGACUGCCGGUGUUAAACCGGAGGAAGGUGGGGAUGACGCCAAGUCCUCAUGGCCUUUAUGACCAGGGCUACACACGUACUACAAUGGCCGAUACAAAGGGCAGCGACACUGCGAGGUGAAGCCAAUCCCGUAAAAUCGGUCUCAGUCCGGAUUGGAGUCUGCAACUCGACUCCAUGAAGUUGGAAUCGCUAGUAAUCGUGGAUCAGCAUGCCACGGUGAAUACGUUCCCGGGCCUU
rnacentral:rRNA from 1 species